AAUGGGAUCAUACGCAAGUCAAAGGGCAGCCUCACUGGGAGAAGGCAGGGGCCAGCCAGAAAAGGGCUGGCCCUCCAGGGCCAAAGGGCCUUGGAAGAGAGAGAUGAAGUUUUUAUAGUUUUAUUUGAUUAUUCAGGUGAGAGUGGUAAUUAUGAGAAGGGUGACACAAGUAUGAGUGCAAUGCGCGUGGUGGUGG
rnacentral:ribozyme from 1 species